CAGGUUGUAGAAGGUAUUGCGAGACAUCCAGAAGCAAAAGUUAAAAUACAAGGUACUUGAUUGCUUAGUCUAGCUUUUAUGGAAGUUUUAACAAUUUAUGGACUAGUUGUGGCACUAGCGCUUUUAUUUGCGAACCCUUUUGUUUAA
rnacentral:rRNA from 1 species